rnacentral:rRNA from 1 species
AACGAACGCUGGCGGCAUGCCUAACACAUGCAAGUCGAACGAGACCUUCGGGUCUAGUGGCGCACGGGUGCGUAACGCGUGGGAACCUGCCCUUAGGUUCGGAAUAACUCCCCGAAAGGGGUGCUAAUACCGGAUAAUGUCUUCGGACCAAAGAUUUAUCGCCUUUGGAUGGGCCCGCGUUGGAUUAGCGAGUUGGUAGGGUAAAAGCCUACCAAGGCGACGAUCCAUAGCUGGUCUGAGAGGAUGAUCAGCCACACUGGGACUGAGACACGGCCCAGACUCCUACGGGAGGCAGCAGUGGGGAAUAUUGGACAAUGGGCGAAAGCCUGAUCCAGCAAUGCCGCGUGAGUGAUGAAGGCCUUAGGGUUGUAAGCUCUUUUACCCGGGAUGAUAAUGACAGUACCGGGAGAAUAAGCUCCGGCUAACUCCGUG